GGCCUCCAGCGAGCUCCGCGCGUCUGAGAAGGAGCUAAGGGCUCCCUGGUUCAAAGGGCCGCAGCCCCGAGGGAAUGCCCUCUUCGUGUGCCCCGGGGUGCAGAAGCAGACUGCAGGGCGGUGGGACCAGCCUGGGCCACGAAAGAAAAUGAACAGGGUGGGGUGUGAGGCAAAGGCACUGGAAGCUAUGCCUCUGAAAAACAGUCGUCCUGCGGAGAAAGGUCACCUACAGACAGUUGAAGAAAGAAAUGUCAUGCAAACUUGACAUCACGGAAGAAACAUGACAUGUGGAUUAUUAAAGAGCAACUGGCUGACUUUUAACCCUGGGUGCAUUGCUCAGACCCCAUUACCUGUGCAUUUAUACCGGGAAGAAUUACAGGGUAUAUGAGCCACAAAGAGGAGAUGACAAAGCAGAGAAUGAGGAACAAUAUACCCAUGGAAGGAGUUACAGAGACAAAGUUUGGAGCUGAGACGGAAGGAAUGGCCAUCCAGAGACUGUGACUGCCCCACCUGGGGAUCCAUUCCAUUUACAACCACCAAACCCAGACGCUAUUGCAUAUGCCAGAAAGAUUUUGCUGACAGGACCCUGAUAUAGCUCUCUCUUAUGAGGCUAUGCCAGUGCCUGGCAAAUAAAUACAGAAGUGGAUGCUCACAGUCAUCUAUUGGAUGGAACACAGGGACCCUAAUGAAGGAGCUAGAGAAAGUACCCAAGGAGCUGAAGGGGUCUGCAACCCUAUAGGAGGAACAACAAUAUGAACUAACCAGUAUCCCCCAGAGCUGUGUCUCUAGUUGUAUAUGUAGCAGAAGAUGGUCUAGUUGGCCAUCAAUGGGAGGAGAGGCCCUUGGUAUUGAAAAGAUCAUGUGCCCCAGUACAGGGGAAUGCUAGGGCCAGACAGAGGGGGUGGGUGGGUUGGGGAGUGGGAGUGGGAGGGUAUAGGGGGACUUUGGGAACAGCACUUGAAAUGCAAAUGAAGAAAAUAUCUAAUAAAAAAAAGUUCCCUGCCUGGCAUGCACUUAGUAAUUUGAGGCUGGUCUGUUCUAGAACUCCAGGUAAUGUAAGUGCAUAAUAAAGGCAUUUAAAAAGAAAUAACUGGCUAUGGGUUUGCAACUAAGUCAGUAGAGAAAUGCCUAGUGUAAAUGAGGUGGUGGGUUCGGGUUUUAGCACUGAUUUUCUUACUAGAAAUUCUACUUCUUUGGUUUCUUCUAAAUUAAAAGUGUUUAAUAAACUAAAGAAAUGACCUUCAAUGAUUAGUUCAUGUAUAGAAUACGUAAGAAUGCGACCACGUGAAUUUCUAGUCGUGUGUGCUUUUUCUAUAUAUGAAUCAAUUUACACAUUUUUGUGCUUUGUUAUUAAUAAUCUAUAUGAAUGUAGAGUUUUAGAUGAAUUUAAUGUCAACUAGGGAUUAAUGUGCAUUAAUUAAAUUGACAGUAUCUUCUCUAAUGAGAAAAAAGGAUUUAGUUGUAAUACUGAUGAUCUUAAUAAAGCUUUCCUCGACUUGUCUGUAUUUUCUCAACAUUAGAAAUUAUUUUUAUUAGAAGGUGAAGUGACUUAGUGCUGGCUAGGUGGCAAAACUCAGAUAAAUCAAGUGAUUGCAAACUGAUUUUGAUUUUGUUUUGGAGGUUGUCUAACCAAGCCUUGUAACUUUCAAUUAAAAAGGAAUCAAUUUGUGUCAGCCAUUUAAAAAUAAAAACACAAAUUGAACUCCACAUUUAGUUUUCUUUUGAGUAUUACGUAAGAUGGCUAGACAUUUGGAGCGAUUAGACGCAGGCUGUAUCUACAUGUUCAACAUCUUUGUUUGAAUCUUACAGAAUGUAAAAGCUGUAUUUGCCCAAAUGCUUUUCAAGUACAAUUCUUGUCACAGAAGGAACCAUAUUUUGUAAUAAAAUCUUGCU
rnacentral:lncRNA from 1 species